GACAGAGGGUGCAAACGUUGCUCGGAAUCACUGGGCGUAAAGGGCGUGUAGGCGGACUUGCAAGUCAGGCGUGAAAUCCCUGGGCUCAACCCAGGAAUUGCACUUGAAACUGCAAGCCUUGAGUGUCGGAGAGGAAAGUGAAAUUCCUGGUGUAGAGGUGAAAUUCGUAGAUAUCAGGAGGAACACCGGUGGCGAAGGCGGCUUCUGG
rnacentral:rRNA from 1 species